GAUGAACGCUGGCGGCGUGCUUAACACAUGCAAGUCGAGCGAAGCAGUUAAGUUGAUUUCUUCGGAUUGAUUCUUAACUGACUGAGCGGCGGACGGGUGAGUAACGCGUGGGUGACCUGCCCCAUACCGGGGGAUAACAGCUGGAAACGGCUGCUAAUACCGCAUAAGCGCACAGAGCUGCAUGGCUCAGUGUGAAAAACUCCGGUGGUAUGGGAUGGGCCCGCGUCUGAUUAGGCAGUUGGCGGGGUAACGGCCCACCAAACCGACGAUCAGUAGCCGGCCUGAGAGGGCGACCGGCCACAUUGGGACUGAGACACGGCCCAAACUCCUACGGGAGGCAGCAGUGGGGAAUAUUGCACAAUGGGGGAAACCCUGAUGCAGCGACGCCGCGUGAGCGAAGAAGUAUUUCGGUAUGUAAAGCUCUAUCAGCAGGGAAGAUAAUGACGGUACCUGACUAAGAAGCCCCGGCUAACUACGUGCCAGCAGCCGCGGUAAUACGUAGGGGGCAAGCGUUAUCCGGAUUUACUGGGUGUAAAGGGAGCGUAGACGGCAAGGCAAGUCUGAUGUGAAAACCCAGGGCUUAACCCUGGGACUGCAUUGGAAACUGGCUGGCUCGAGUGCCGGAGAGGUAAGGGGAAUUCCUAGUGAGCGGCGCAAAUGAAUUGUUAUUUGGAAGAACACCAGUGGCGAAGGCGGCUUACGGAUCGGUAUCUGACGUUGAGCUUGAAAAGCGUGGGGAGCAAACAGAUUAGAUACCCUGGAGUCCGCACGGUAAACGAUGGAUGCCCGCUGUUGGUCUGAAUAGGUCAGCGGCCAAGCGAAAGCAUUAAGCAUCCCACCUGGGGAGUACGCCGGCAACGGUGAAACUCAAAGGAAUUGACGGGGGCCCGCACAAGCGGAGGAACAUGUGGUUUAAUUCGAUGAUACGCGAGGAACCUUACCCGGGCUUGAAUUGCAGAGGAAGGAUUCGGAGACAAUGACGCCCUUCGGGGCCUCUGUGAAGGUGCUGCAUGGUUGUCGUCAGCUCGUGCCGUGAGGUGUCGGCUUAAGUGCCAUAACGAGCGCAACCCCUCUCCUUAGUUGCCAUCAGGUCAAGCUGGGCACUCUGGGGACACUGCCACCGUAAGGUGUGAGGAAGGUGGGGAUGACGUCAAAUCAGCACGGCCCUUACGUCCGGGGCUACACACGUGUUACAAUGGCAGGUACAGAGAGACGGUCCCUUGCAAAAUGAAUCAAAUCCUUAAAGCCUGUCUCAGUUCGGACUGGGGUCUGCAACCCGACCCCACGAAGCUGGAUUCGCAAGUAAUCGCGCAUCAGCCAUGGCGCGGUGAAUA
rnacentral:rRNA from 1 species